UACUGUGCAGGGUCAUGGAGACACAUGCCACACGGUGGCCUCGUUCCACCGCCAAAUGAUCGUUAACCCAGUACAACAUCCAUUGUGUCCUUCAGAGCUGACAAAGGGAUGGAACGGUGUGUUGAACGUGACAGUCAGUCUUUGCUGAGUCCCUUCCACUAAUGCCCAGUGCUUGUGGCCAUUGCAACGGCCUUACUGCAUGAUUCAAUUGUUCCAGUGCAUUGGUGUUACUUGAGCAGGUUUUAUGAACAGGUCAUUAGAGGUGCUGUUUACGGAUGACCGCCCUAUUUGCCUUUUAUUGCCACUUACUAGCAGGAGGCGAUUUCCUUGAUGGUGUAGUAUUUUGGAAAUCUGUUAGUAUGGUUAUGGAAGGUUUAUAAUUAUAAUAUAAU
rnacentral:lncRNA from 1 species